GAGUGAACGCUGGCGGCAGGCCUAACACAUGCAAGUCGAGCGGCAGCGGGGUCCCCGCGAGGGGAUGCCGGCGAGCGGCGGACGGGUGAGGAACACAUCGGAAUCUGCCUGGUCGUGGGGGAUAACGUAGGGAAACUUACGCUAAUACCGCAUGCGACCCUGAGUCGACGGACUUGGGGUGAAAGUGAGGGACCUUCGGGCCUCACGCGACCAGAUGAGCCGAUGUCGGAUUAGCUAGUUGGCGGGGUAACGGCCCGCCAAGGCGACGAUCCGUAGCUGGUCUGAGAGGAUGAUCAGCCACACUGGGACUGAGACACGGGCCCAGACUCCUACGGGAGGCAGCAGUGGGGAAUCUUGGACAAUGGGCGCAAGCCUGAUCCAGCCAUGCCGC
rnacentral:rRNA from 1 species